rnacentral:rRNA from 1 species
GGUUCCUAGCGAGCCCAACCUCCCACCCGUGUUUACUGUACCUUAGUUGCUUCGGCGGGCCCGCCAUUCAUGGCCGCCGGGGGCUCUCAGCCCCGGGCCCGCGCCCGCCGGAGACACCACGAACUCUGUCUGAUCUAGUGAAGUCUGAGUUGAUUGUAUCGCAAUCAGUUAAAACUUUCAACAAUGGAUCUCUUGGUUCCGGCAUCGAUGAAGAACGCAGCGAAAUGCGAUAACUAGUGUGAAUUGCAGAAUUCCGUGAAUCAUCGAGUCUUUGAACGCACAUUGCGCCCCCUGGUAUUCCGGGGGGCAUGCCUGUCCGAGCGUCAUUGCUGCCCAUCAAGCACGGCUUGUGUGUUGGGUCGUCGUCCCCUCUCCGGGGGGGACGGGCCCCAAAGGCAGCGGCGGCACCGCGUCCGAUCCUCGAGCGUAUGGGGCUUUGUCACCCGCUCUGUAGGCCCGGCCGGCGCUUGCCGAACGCAAAUCAAUCUUUUUCCAGGUUGACCUCGGAUCAGGUAGGGAUACCCGCUGAACUUAAGCAUAUCAAUAAGCGGAGGAA